AUUGAACGCUGGCGGCAUGCCUUACACAUGCAAGUCGAACGGCAGCACGGGUGCUUGCACCUGGUGGCGAGUGGCGAACGGGUGAGUAAUACAUCGGAACAUGUCCUGUAGUGGGGGAUAGCCCGGCGAAAGCCGGAUUAAUACCACAUACGAUCUACGGAUGAAAGCGGGGGACCUUCGGGCCUCGCGCUAUAGGGUUGGCCGAUGGCUGAUUAGCUAGUUGGUGGGGUAAAGGCCUACCAAGGCGACGAUCAGUAGCUGGUCUGAGAGGACGACCAGCCACACUGGGACUGAGACACGGCCCAGACUCCUACGGGAGGCAGCAGUGGGGAAUUUUGGACAAAGGGCGAAAGCCUGAUCCAGCAAUGCCGCGUGUGUGAAGAAGGCCUUCGGGUUGUAAAGCACUUUUGUCCGGAAAGAAAUCCUUGGCUCUAAUACAGUCGGGGGAUGACGGUACCGGAAGAAUAAGCACCGGCUAACUACGUG
rnacentral:rRNA from 1 species